UACGAAGGGGGCUAGCGUUGCUCGGAAUUACUGGGCGUAAAGGGCGCGUAGGCGGACAGUUAAGUCGGGGGGUGAAAGCCCGGGGCUCAACCUCGGAAUUGCCUUCGAUACUGGCUGUCUUGAGUGCGGGAGAGGUGUGUGGAACUCCGAGUGUAGAGGUGAAAUUUCGUAGAUAUUCGGAAGAAACACCAGUGGCGAAGGCGACACACUGGCCCGUUACUGACGCUGAGGCGCGAAAGCGUGGGGAGCAAACAGG
rnacentral:rRNA from 1 species